CAAGAUUAAACAAUAGAGUUUGAUCCUGGCUCAGAUUGAACGCUGGCGGAACGCUUUACACAUGCAAGUCGAACGGUAA
rnacentral:rRNA from 3 species